rnacentral:rRNA from 1 species
UACUCGAGCCCCAAGUGGUAUUCGCGAUUAGUGGGUCUAAAGCGUCCGUAGCCGGUUCGAUAAGUCCCUGGUGAAAUCCUUUGGGUAAACUGAAGGGCUUGCUGGGGAUACUGUUGAACUUGGGACUGGGAGAGGAUAGACGUACUCCCGGGGGAGGGGUAAAAUCCUAUAAUCCUGGGGGGACGACCUGUGGCGAAGGCUUCUAUCUAGAACAGGUCCGACGGUGAGGGACGAAACCUAGGGUAGCGACCGGGAUUAGAUACCCCUGUA